rnacentral:rRNA from 1 species
ACAUGCAGUCGAGCGGACUUAAAANGCUUGCUUUUUAAGUUAGCGGCGGACGGGUGAGUAACACGUGGGCAACCUGCCUGUAAGACUGGGAUAACUUCGGGAAACCGGAGCUAAUACCGGAUAAUCCUUUUCUACUCAUGUAGAAAAGCUGAAAGACGGUUUACGCUGUCACUUACAGAUGGGCCCGCGGCGCAUUAGCUAGUUGGUGAGGUAACGGCUCACCAAGGCGACGAUGCGUAGCCGACCUGAGAGGGUGAUCGGCCACACUGGGACUGAGACACGGCCCAGACUCCUACGGGAGGCAGCAGUAGGGAAUCUUCCGCAAUGGACGAAAGUCUGACGGAGCAACGCCGCGUGAGUGAUGAAGGUUUUCGGAUCGUAAAACUCUGUUGUUAGGGAAGAACAAGUACGAGAGUAACUGCUCGUACCUUGACGGUACCUAACCAGAAAGCCACGGCUAACUACGUGCCAGCAGCCGCGGUAAUACGUAGGUGGCAAGCGUUGUCCGGAAUUAUUGGGCGUAAAGCGCGCGCAGGCGGUCCUUUAAGUCUGAUGUGAAAGCCCACGGCUCAACCGUGGAGGGUCAUUGGAAACUGGGGGACUUGAGUGCAGAAGAGAAGAGUGGAAUUCCACGUGUAGCGGUGAAAUGCGUAGAGAUGUGGAGGAACACCAGUGGCGAA